rnacentral:rRNA from 1 species
UCUACGGUGCGCAGCAGUGAGGAAUAUUGGUCAAUGGACGCAAGUCUGAACCAGCCAUGCCGCGUGCAGGAUGACGGCUCUAUGAGUUGUAAACUGCUUUUGUACGAGGGUAAACCCCGAUACGUGUAUCGGGUUGAAAGUAUCGUACGAAUAAGGAUCGGCUAACUCCGUGCCAGCAGCCGCGGUAAUACGGAGGAUCCGAGCGUUAUCCGGAUUUAUUGGGGUUAAAGGGUGCGUAGGCGGUUUGAUAAGUUAGAGGUGAAAUGUCGGGGCUCAAACCCGAAACUGCCUCUAAUACUGUUGUACUAGAGAAUAGUUGCGGUAGGCGGAAUGUAUGGUGGAGCGGUGAAAUGCGUAGAUAUCAGGAGGAACACCGGUGGCGAAGGCGGCCUGCUGGACUGCAACUGACGUUGAGGCCCGAAAGCGUGGGGAGCAAACAGGAUUAGAUACCCCAGUAGUC